GUCUGUGCAGACCCUUGGAAGGCCCAUCAAUACAGAGAGACUGCCUGGGAAUCCGUGUUUGGUUGCUUAUGGACAGCCACUCUGUGCUUCAAGGUUUACUCUUGCUUUUGGUAAGGUGUUGGCAACUGACUUGACAAAUCCUCUAUCAGCAGUGUGCAUGUGAUUCUCCUCUUACUAUGCAUUCAACCUGAAGUAUCCACAGAAAGCAGAAGGAGCCCUCGAGUUCAUUCAGAGGUGCUUCGUUGGCCUAAAUCCCGCAUCCGGAACCAAAAUGGGAAGAAAGAAAUCUUUGGUGCAUCCAGGUGUGUUGAUACUUGCCAACUCGAUGAAGAACUUGGAGAACGAUUGGGAUUUGUGAGCACCUAUUUUGUAGCAUUGCCACCACCGGUACCUUUGCCUUGUUUCUGCUGUUUGAUUAUAGUAGAUUCUUAGGUCACAAGUGCAUGAACCUAUACUUAAUCAUUGGGGAUAAUUUUUUUAUUUUAUUCCUAAUGGUUGUUUUCCAACGAAAUAGAAAAAAAAUGUGUAGUUGGUUAGUAAGGAUUAUCUUAGCAUUUAGCCAAAAUGCAGCUGAU